ACCGCCUCCUUCCCAGCGGGAUAACGCUCCGUGGACUCGGGGCUGGAAUGUGGGCCGUGGGUCAGGUGGCGGCAGAAGCCCGGGACGAGUGCAGGUCCGUGUGGCCCGCACUCGCCGCCAACUUCUGCCACGGCUGAGGCACCUCCUAAUUUUCUGAAGUACACAGUUCCCCAGAGGUGAAACAGAACUUGCCUGUUCUGAUGGAACCUGGAAAGGGUUGUUCUCCGAAACUGUUGAAUCCAGAUUCGAGCCCUGAGGCUUAUGGAGUGCCAGAUGGAGAAAGAUGUCGUACCUCGAGUUUACAUUGGGCUUCAUUGAAACUGUAUAAGAGGCUACUCUGGGGAAAUGGAGGCAAUCGCAAUUAUGGAUUCAAGCAAUGGUGAGGAAGGUGGUUUUCGAAAUAAGUCUAUGCUUUGUUGUAACAUAAGUCUAUGCUUUGUUGUUCACUCAUUGGAUCUGUGACCUGACUGGAGGAGAGCUGCCGCUCUUUCAUGGAAAUUCUUCUCCGCCUGCCUGCAGCAGGAAAUGGUUUCAACACCUGCAGCAGUUUGUUUUUUUUUACAAAAAAAGCAUUAGGAAGUUGACCAGAAGAUUCUGUGGGAAGGUGUAGGGUGCAGCGUGUCAGCUAAACAGAUAUUCUUCAAGUUGCUCAGUUGUUUGAUCUCAAACUCUGAACUGUAAACCAUUUACUCAGUUGCCCAUACUUGAUGGACAAGGAAGAAAUGAAAGAGAACAAGUUAAUGUUUUUGAGAAGGAUUUUAUUGCAGGAUGUUACUCACAUUUAUCUUCAGAAUAAUGCCCAUAAAUUCUGAAACAUAAUUCACAUGAAUGUAGAAACAUUCUUGUUUCAGGUAAAUGAGAUACUUUUAUGUUCCAUUAUUUUUAAAUUGAAUGGAAGUGCUGAUUAAGAAAUAAAACAAAAAUGUUUACUGUUUGGAACUGUUAUGCUCAGUUGGUAUGGAAGAAUACCAGCUUUAUUUAUCCAGUUUAUUGUC